GGAGGGAUGGCAGAGCGGACGAAUGCGACGGUCUUGAAAACCGUUGAGCCUCCGGGCUCCGGGGGUUCGAAUCCCCCUCCCUCCGCCA
rnacentral:tRNA from 3 species